rnacentral:rRNA from 1 species
GACGAACGCUGGCGGCGUGCCUAAUACAUGCAAGUCGAACGCACUCUCGUUUAGAUUGAAGGAGUUUGCUCCUGAUUGAUAAACAUUUGAGUGAGUGGCGGACGGGUGAGUAACACGUGGGUAACCUGCCCUAAAGUGGGGGAUAACAUUUGGAAACAGAUGCUAAUACCGCAUAAAACCUAACACCGCAUGGUGUAGGGUUGAAAGAUGGUUUCGGCUAUCACUUUAGGAUGGACCCGCGGUGCAUUAGUUAGUUGGGGAGGUAAAGGCUCACCAAGACCGUGAUGCAUAGCCGACCUGAGAGGGUCAUCGGCCACACUGGGACUGAGACACGGCCCAGACUCCUACGGGAGGCAGCAGUAGGGAAUCUUCCACAAUGGACGAAAGUCUGAUGGAGCAACGCCGCGUGAGUGAAGAAGGUUUUCGGAUCGUAAAACUCUGUUGUUGGAGAAGAAUGUAUCUGAUAGUAACUGAUCAGGUAGUGACGGUAUCCAACCAGAAAGCCACGGCUAACUACGUG